rnacentral:sRNA from 1 species
GGCGUGUAGCAAUACACAGUCGAGCGGCGAACGGGUGAGUAACACGUGAGCAACCUGCCCUGCUGUCUGGGAUAACAAGCCGAAAGGCCUGCUAAUACCGGAUACGAAGCCUCACCGCAUGUUGGGGCUUGGAAAGGGGAAACCCGCGGCGGGAUGGGCUCGCGUCCCAUCAGCUAGUUGGUGAGGUAACGGCCCACCAAGGCAACGACGGGUAGCCGACCUGAGGGGUUAGCCGGCCACAUUGGGACUGAGACACGGCCCAGACUCCUACGGGAGGCAGCAGGAGACUCCUACGGGAGGCUCCAGUGGGAUAAUUCUAGAAGUCUCCUACAUAUUUCAG